rnacentral:rRNA from 1 species
UACAGAGGGUGCUAGCGUUAAUCGGAUUUACUGGGCGUAAAGCGUGUGUAGGUGGUUUGUUAAGUCAAAUGUGAAAGCCCUGGGCUCAACCUGGGAACUGCAUUCGAUACUGGCAAGCUAGAGUACGGUAGAGGGAGGCGGAACUCCGGGUGUAGCGGUGAAAUGCGUAGAUAUCCGGAAGAACACCGAUGGCGAAGGCAACCUCCUGGGCCUGUACUGACACUGAGACACGAAAGCGUGGGGAGCAAACAGG